rnacentral:rRNA from 1 species
AGAGUUUGAUCAUGGCUCAGGAUGAACGCUAGCUACAGGCUUAACACAUGCAAGUCGAGGGGCAGCAUAAUGGAUAGCAAUAUCUAUGGUGGCGACCGGCGCACGGGUGCGUAACGCGUAUGCAACCUACCUUUAACAGGGGGAUAACACUGAGAAAUUGGUACUAAUACCCCAUAAUAUCAUAGAAGGCAUCUUUUAUGGUUGAAAAUUCCGAUGGUUAGAGAUGGGCAUGCGUUGUAUUAGCUAGUUGGUGGGGUAACGGCGUCACCAAGGCGACGGAUACAUAGGGGGACUGAGAGGUUAACCCCCCACACUGGUACUGAGACACGGACCAGACUCCUACGGGAGGCGA